rnacentral:tRNA from 1 species
GGAUAAUGGGCUCAGUGGUAGAGCAUCUGCUUUGUAUGCAGCAGGUCUCAGAUUCAAUUCCCAGCAUUGCCA